rnacentral:rRNA from 1 species
AUUGAACGCUGGCGGCAUGCCUUACACAUGCAAGUCGAACGGCAGCACGGGAGCAAUCCUGGUGGCGAGUGGCGAACGGGUGAGUAAUAUAUCGGAACGUGCCCAGUCGUGGGGAUAACGUAGCGAAAGCUACGCUAAUACCGCAUACGAUCUAUGGAUGAAAGCGGGGGAUCGCAAGACCUCGCGCGAUUGGAGCGGCUGAUAUCAGAUUAGGUAGUUGGUGAGGUAAAGGCUCACCAAGCCGACGAUCUGUAGCUGGUCUGAGAGGACGACCAGCCACACUGGGACUGAGACACGGCCCAGACUCCUACGGGAGGCAGCAGUGGGGGAAUUUUUGGGACAAUGGCGCAAGCCUGAUCCAGCAAUGCCGCGUGCAGGAUGAAGGCCU